rnacentral:lncRNA from 1 species
GUUAUUAUUGUGAAAUUGUGGAAGCAAUUAGAAAUGAUCAAGGCACUUGUUUUCUUUCGAGCACAACUACAUCCAAAAACAACUUACCUGUGAGCAGAGAGAGUAUUUGUUAACCCCUUUGAGCCUAAACAGUCGAAUCUCGGCUUGAAAUAAAGCGAGAUCUCAAAAAUCUUUUUUUUUACAACCCGGAAAAUAUUGAUUAUUGUUCUUUUGCCGUAAAAAGGUAAGAGCAUUCACUUAGGGUGUGGAAGAAAUGAGUUGGGGAGAACGAAAAAGAAUCGGUAAAUUCCACAACUCUUGAAAAAGAAAAGAAAAACCGAGCAAGCAUAGAAAAAUAUAUGUAUAGAAAAUGUAGAAAAUAAACAUCUGUUUUGUACAUUUGAUGUGAAAGAAAAGAACAAAAAUAUAAAGAAUGAAAAUGAAUGCUUGCUUGGAAGAAAAAUAGUGAAAAAUACGAGUUGAGUUGUGGAAUAUGUGUUGUGAAGGUUACAAAUAAGAAACAGAUGAAACAAGUCGAGUAGUGUGAAUAAUACUGUGAAU